rnacentral:rRNA from 1 species
UACGGAAGGCAGCAGUGGGGAAUAUUGGACAAUGGGCGGAAGCCUGAUCCAGCCAUGCCGCGUGUGUGAAGAAGGCCUUUUGGUUGUAAAGCACUUUAAGCGAGGAGGAGGCUACUAGUACUAAUACUACUGGAUAGUGGACGUUACUCGCAGAAUAAGCACCGGCUAACUCUGUGCCAGCAGCCGCGGUAAUACAGAGGGUGCGAGCGUUAAUCGGAUUUACUGGGCGUAAAGCGUGCGUAGGCGGCUGAUUAAGUCGGAUGUGAAAUCCCUGAGCUUAACUUAGGAAUUGCAUUCGAUACUGGUCAGCUAGAGUAUGGGAGAGGAUGGUAGAAUUCCAGGUGUAGCGGUGAAAUGCGUAGAGAUCUGGAGGAAUACCGAUGGCGAAGGCAGCCAUCUGGGCCUAAUACUGACGCUGAGUCGAAAGCAUGGGGAGGCAAACAGGAUUAGAUACCCGU